rnacentral:rRNA from 1 species
CUGGCGGCGUGCCUAAACAUGCAAGUCGAACGAGAAAGUGGAGCAAUCCAUGAGUAAAGUGGCGACCGGGUGAGUAGCACGUGACUAACCUACCUCCAAGUGGGGAAUAACUCCGGGAAACCGGGGCUAAUACCGCAUAACAUCGCAAGAUCAAAGCAGCAAUGCGCUGGGAGAGGGGGUCGCGGCUGAUUAGCUAGUUGGCGGGGUAACGGCCCACCAAGGCGAAGAUCGGUAUCCGGCCUGAGAGGGCGCACGGACACACUGGAACUGAAACACGGUCCAGACUCCUACGGGAGGCAGCAGUGGGGAAUUUUGCGCAAUGGGGGAAACCCUGACGCAGCAACGCCGCGUGGAGGAUGAAGUCCCUUGGGACGUAAACUCCUUUCGACCAAGACGAUAAUGACGGUACUGGUGGAAGAAGCACCGGCUAACUCUGUGCCAGCAGCCGCGGUAAUACAGAGGGUGCAAGCGUUGUUCGGAAUUAUUGGGCGUAAAGGGCGCGUAGGCGGUGCCACAAGUCACCUGUGAAAUCUCCGGGCUUAACUCG